rnacentral:misc_RNA from 1 species
AAAGUCGUAACAAGGUUUCCGUAGGUGAACCUGCGGAAGGAUCAUUACUGAGUAAUGGAAAACAGUGUUUCUAAUCGAGAUUCUGUUUUCCUAUCUCUAUACCCUUUGGAAUGUUUACAAGUUGCUUUGGCAUUAGUGUAUACUAGUGUCAAAGAAGUUUAACAAUGUUGUCCAAUAAUUGGCUGUCAUUUGUCUGAUUAAUUACUUUAAUAGUAAAUUAAAACUUUCAACAACGGAUCUCUUGGUUCUG